rnacentral:rRNA from 1 species
AUUGAGCGCUGGCGGCAGGCCUAACACAUGCAAGUCGAGCGGAUGAGGGUAGCUUGCUACCUGAUUCAGCGGCGGACGGGUGAGUAAUGCCUAGGAAUCUGCCUGGUAGUGGGGGACAACGUUUCGAAAGGAACGCUAAUACCGCAUACGUCCUACGGGAGAAAGUGGGGGAUCUUCGGACCUCACGCUAUCAGAUGAGCCUAGGUCGGAUUAGCUAGUUGGUGGGGUAAAGGCUCACCAAGGCGACGAUCCGUAACUGGUCUGAGAGGAUGAUCAGUCACACUGGAACUGAGACACGGUCCAGACUCCUACGGGAGGCAGCAGUGGGGAAUAUUGGACAAUGGGCGCAAGCCUGAUCCAGCCAUGCCGCGUGUGUGAAGAAGGUCUUCGGAUUGUAAAGCACUUUAAGUUGGGAGGAAGGGCAGUAAGUUAAUACCUUGCUGUUUUGACGUUACCGACAGAAUAAGCACCGGCUAACUCUGUGCC